CGAUGGCACCUGUGUCAAGGUCUUCCAACAACUCCGGGUCUUCCAGCGACUUCAAGUCUUCCAAUAAUCUCAAGGUCUUCCAGAUAAUCCUGAGCUUCCAGAAAAUCCACAUCUUCCAGACAAUCCAUGUCUUCCGGACAAUCCAUGUCUUCCAAGAAGCUCCAAGUCUUCCAGUAAAUCAAGUCUUCCAGCAAAUCCAGUCUUCCAGCAAUUACUGGUCUUCCACCAAAUCCAGAUCUUCCAGGAAAAUCCACGUCUUCCAGGAAAUCCAUGUCUUCCAAUAAUUUCAAGGUCUUCCAUCAAAUACAGAUCUUCCAGCUAAUCCAUGUCUUCCAGAAAAAUCUGUGUCUUCCACCAAAUCCAAGUCUUCCAGUAAAUCUAGUUCUUCCAGAAAAAUCUAGAUCUUCCAGUCAAUCAGUGUCUUCCAGAAAGAAAUCCAGGUCUUCCAGUCAAUCAGUGUCUUCCAGAAAGAAAUCCAGGUCUUCCAGUCAGUCAGUGUCUUCCAGAAAAAUCUACGUCUUCCACCAAAUCCAGGUCUUCCAGUCAAUCCACAUCUUCCGGAAAAAAUCCAGGUCUUCCAGCCAAUAUAUGUCUUCCUGAAGAUCCACGUCUUCCAGAAAAUCCAUGUCUUCCAGAAAAUCCAUGUCUUCCAGUAACCUCCCAGUCUUCCAGAAAAUCCACGUCUUCCCAACAAUCCAAGUCUUCCGGAUAAUUUGGGUCUUCCUGAAAAUCUACGUCUUCCAAAAAAGCCAUGUCUUCCAGAAAAUCCACAUCUUCCAAUGGCCUCCAGGUCUUCCAGACUAUCCAUGUCUUCCAGAAAAUCCUUGUCUUCCCUUAAAUCUAUAGCUUCCAAAAAAUCCGGGUCUUCCAGGAAAUCCGUGUCUUCCAGCAAGUCCACGUCUUCCAACAAAGCCAUGUCUUCCAGACUAUCCAUGUCUUCCAGAAAAUCCUUGUCUUCCCUCAAAUCCAUAGCUUCCGAAAAAUCCAGGUCUUCCAGGAAAUCCGUGUCUUCCAGCAAAUCCACGUCUUCCAACAAAGCCAUGUCUUCCAUCAAAUUAAUGUCUUCCAGCCUACUUGUGUCUUCCAACAAAGGUCUUCCAGCAUCUCCAGGGCUUCCAGCAUCUGCUCGUCUUCCAACAUCUCCACGUCUUCCAGCAUCUCUGUGUCUUCCAGCAUCUUCAUGUCUUCCAACAACUACCCAGUCUUCCAUCAACUGGCUCAAUAUCCAUGUCUUCCAACGUCUCCAGUGUGCUGAUCUUCUGACAUUCAGGUCUUCCAGUGUCUGCAAUAUCCAGGUAUUCUAACAUGUUCUAUAGUCCAGAUCUUCCAGCCUUUCCCCAGGUCCAGGCCUUUUCAAAUCUAGGCUUCCCCUGUCUGAGCCUUCCCAUGUUAAAAUCACUCUACAGAAAAAUCUUCCAACUCAACUAUUUCUGCUUCUAGUUGAAUUAGCUUCAAAAACAUUUAAUGGGACAUUCCUCCUUAUAGACCAGAUCUUAUGAACCAACAGUACUGCAGUUUGUGUUUUUUACUAUUAGGAAAUGUGUGUUUAAUCCCUACAACUUUUAAAAGUAAUGUCCAUAAUAAAACUUCUGCAGAAUAAACA
rnacentral:lncRNA from 1 species